rnacentral:snRNA from 1 species
AUCGCUUCUCGGCCUUUUGGCUAAGAUCAAGUGUAGUAUCUGUUCUUAUCAGUUUAAUAUCUGAUACGUCCCCCAUCGGGGGACUAUACAUAUUAAAUGGAUUUUUCGAACAGGGAGUCGGAAGCGGGGCUUGCUCCGUCCGCUCCACGCAUCGACUCGGUUUGCAGUACCUCCCGAGAACGGUGCACCCUCU